UCUCUCUCUCUCUAGAAGAGAGU
rnacentral:snRNA from 1 species